GUAAACUUUGAGCAUCUGUAGAGAGAAGAGGCAAAAAAGAGGGAAGGAUUCGGAUAUAUAUUAUAUGCAAAUAGAACGAGUGCAAAAGACUGGGAGUAAAAUAAGUGUAAAAGGGGGAAAAAGCAAAAUUUAUAAUUUCUGAUCCAGUUUUCUGCUAUUCUAUUUUUCUUGGCUAACAACCUCAAGCUCUACAGCCCUCAAAACUCAAGAUCCCAGCG
rnacentral:misc_RNA from 1 species